rnacentral:rRNA from 1 species
UUCAAUAAUGUGUUUUUCAGGGAAUCGUCUGAUCUCAGAAGCUAAGCAGGGUCGGGGCUGGUUAGUACUCGGAUGGGAGACCACCUAGGAAGACCAGGUGCUCUAGGCA